ensembl:rRNA 5S_rRNA 5S ribosomal RNA
AACCACAGCCACAUCAUCCUGCAGUUCAAGACCGGUUACUCACUGAAGCUAAGCAGGGCUGAGCAUGGUCAGUACCUGGAUGGGAGACCACAUGACAAAACUAGGUUGCUGUUGGAA